rnacentral:rRNA from 1 species
AGUGAACGCUGGCGGUAGGCCUAACACAUGCAAGUCGAACGGCAGCACAGUAAGAGCUUGCUCUUACGGGUGGCGAGUGGCGGACGGGUGAGGAAUACAUCGGAAUCUACUUUUUCGUGGGGGAUAACGUAGGGAAACUUACGCUAAUACCGCAUACGACCUACGGGUGAAAGCAGGGGAUCUUCGGACCUUGCGCGAUUGAAUGAGCCGAUGUCGGAUUAGCUAGUUGGCGGGGUAAAGGCCCACCAAGGCGACGAUCCGUAGCUGGUCUGAGAGGAUGAUCAGCCACACUGGAACUGAGACACGGUCCCGACUCCUACGGGAGGCAGCAGUGGGGAAUAUUGGACAAUGGGCGCGAGCCUGAUCCAGCCGUACCGCGUGGGUGAAGAAGGCCUUCGGGUUGUAAAGCCCUUUUGUUGGGAAAGAAAAGCAGCAGGUUAAUACCCCGCUGUUCUGACGGUACCCAAAGAAUAAGCACCGGCUAACUUCGUG